CCGUCCGAUAGCUCAGUUUGGUAGAGCGGAGUACUGUAGAGUUGCAGCAAUCCUUAGGUCCCUUGGUUCGAAUCCGGCUCGACGGA